rnacentral:misc_RNA from 1 species
UUUUGAAUCAAAAUGUUAAAAUGAUUGUACCGUAAGACAAAGGUAUUAAAACACCAGCCUUGAUAAAAGGAUCAGAAGCAUUCAAUCCAUUUACCUAAAAUCUUAGAAGUGAUCAAAUUAACUAAUAAGGAGCGGCUUUUCAAGAAACAACCUAUUGUUAUGGUGAUAGAUGCACAAUGAAAGGUUGCCAGCCCAAAUGCACUCCCCAUCAUGUGGAUUUGGACUUUGGAGGAACCAGGUUUAUCCUUUCACUACAGGCGCUCUGGAACCUCUUUGGAAGGAAAAAAGUUGGAACCUUGAGCUGCUUGUGGAUGACAUCUGCCCACCGAUUCUCCAAUGGAUCAGGGCAGGACAGUGUAUACGCCAGUAUGGAGCAGAGGUCAUAGUGGAUCACGAUGUUCACCACAAGGGAAGCUAGGGCUUCCGUUUAUGGAGGAGUGAAAAGUCAUGCCAGGGCUUGUGAAUUAGAAUUGUAGUUGCUCUUAUUAGGUUAAUAAAUAUAAAUGGAUAGUGAAGAACAUGAAUUAGAAUUGAUGGUCUAUAUAAUCCAGAUAGAGAAACUAUAACUUUUGAUGUGGUCAUGCUUAGACAGCAUGUAAAAUAAUUUUAGGUUCUGAUGCUCAAUCCUGGCUUUUGGCAUUGGCAAAAAAAUUUAUAUUUAGUGUUAACAGUUUAUGUUGGAAUACUUGUCCACAUUGGAAAAAUACAAAGAUGAAAAGGAUGAAUAUAAGUGAUUGGUUUGCAAUAUUGAAUUAGCUAAUUAUUUUGAUGUGUAAAACAAUUCAAUCACUUGUAUAUAAACCUCUAUUAAAAUGUAUUAAUACAUGAUUUGCCUAGUACUAUCUCCAAAUUUGACAAUAUCAAGCCUAUAAUACAAUACCUGCGCAAAUUUCUUUAUAGCCGGCAUAUUGUGUUUGGCUCUUCAUAUAGUAUUUCAUAGAUGUUAUACUUGGAAAUUUACAUGAUGUUGUGUUUGGCUUUAUAGCAUGCAUUGCCAGUUGGAAAUAGCCCGUAGCUUUUAUAUAGACCUUCAUAAAUGUUACUUUUAGAAUCUCUGAAGUUUUUAUGAAUUUUAAUUAGUAAGUUGCAUUUUAAUUUCUGAGCUUCUUCCUUACCAAAAACUUUUUAAAAAAUGAUCUUCAAAUUUUCAUCAUCAUUCUGAAUCUUAUAAUUUAACUGUUUCUACUGACCAAUCUUCUUGCAGCCUUUUAGAGAAAAUCUAUCUUUUGAACUUAUGAUCGUGGGACUUCGUCUCCUAAAGAAUGCAUAGAUAUUCUUAUUUUUGUCUCACAGUUUUCCUAGGUGUUAUAUUAUUCCAAAACCAUGAGAUAUUGCUAAUAUUAAAGGGAUGUCAAUCAAUCAUUCAUUUGUUUUUUGUUUCCCUCUCAUUAGUCAUUUUUCAAACUCAAUUAUGUGUAUCUUUUCCUGCUUCCUUGUUCAAAUGGUUUAAUAUCGUAGUACAGGUAUCGCUGGAGCAAGGAAGCAUUGCUACUAUCACAGAACACAUGCUUGACUGCGAAGUUAUUGCAAUGGUUAUAAUCUUGGGGUAGAAACUUUCGUUAUGUAGGAUAAUUUUUGUGCAACUUUGCGAUUCUAUGUUUCGAUGUAUUUUUCAUUACUUUAGUCAAACUGAAAGGCAAGAAGGAAGUUGAUAAACUGUUAAUUUAAGAUUGGUGAUUUUUGUCUGUAGGCCAUAGCUGAAGCACAUUCAAACUCAAGUUCAAGAAAAUGAGAGAGGGAUGGUGUCUGAACAAUUGCACAUGCCUUUACAUGGCUUAAAUGGCCAUGUAAAAUGAAAUUCUAGUAAUUGCUUCACCAAGCUGUUAUUUGUUGUAUCUUGCGGCGGAUUUGGUCCUAAGGCAUGUAUUUAAUCUCAAUGCCACGGGAAUCUCACUGAGUGUUUUUAAUUCUCAUGUUUAAUUCCUUUGACAUUGAAUGAGUACUGCAUUCCAAUAUUAUGAACUAGCUUGCGUCUUGACCAUAAUUAAUUUUUCUUAAUCUAUAAAUAUGAAUAGCAAUAGUUUACUGAACCCCACCAAGGGAAAACAAAGCUUGAAAUUGGAGGAAAUGUUAAAGGCAUCUUUUAUCUGGGACCUGGUAUAGUUGUUCCCUGGAAGCCUGGCACCGGUUGAGGAAGAUGAUAGCUGCCUGAUGUCUUUGUGCAUGAUGAAAACACUGGGUAAUCUCUUCCUUCUGAGUAAUCACCUUCCAACCACCAUUUGUGAUGAUGUAGAAAAUUACUAGCCUAUUAAGCAAUUUUUUAUUGCAUCCAAGGAUUCAUUUAAUGGGAGGAUUAGGUGGUUCUAGCUUCUACAAAGUUUUCAAGAAGGAUAUAUUCUAGCUUCUAUAAAGUUUUCAAGAAGGAUAUUGAUUUUCAAUAUGCAG